AAAGCAAUUUGUCUUCCAGAACAAGAACUUACACAUCAACUUAGCAUUUGUCUUUGUUUAUGGCUCAUUAUUUUUCUACACAUGUUUCAAUACAUUUGUGUU